rnacentral:rRNA from 1 species
CUGCGAGAGUGACGGCUCGAGCAGGUACGAAAGUAGGUCUUAGUGAUCCGGUGGUUCUGAAUGGAAGGGCCAUCGCUCAACGGAUAAAAGGUACUCCGGGGAUAACAGGCUGAUACCGCCCAAGAGUUCAUAUCGACGGCGGUGUUUGGCACCUCGAUGUCGGCUCAUCACAUCCUGGGGCUGAAGUAGGUCCCAAGGGUAUGGCUGUUCGCCAUUUAAAGUGGUACGCGAGCUGGGUUUAGAACGUCGUGAGACAGUUCGGUCCCUAUCUGCCGUGGGCGUUGGAAGAUUGAGAGGGGCUGCUCCUAGUACGAGAGGACCGGAGUGGACGAAUCACUGGUGUUCGGGUUGUCAUGCCAAUGGCAUUGCCCGGUAGCUAAAUUCGGAAGAGAUAACCGCUGAAAGCAUCUAAGCGGGAAACUUGCCUCGAGAUGAGUCUUCCCUGGGGCUUUAAGCCCCCUGAAGGAACGUUAAAGACGAUGACGUUGAUAGGCUGGGUGUGUAAGUGCAGCGAUGCAUUGAGCUAACCAGUACUAAUGAACCGUGAGGCUUAACCUUACAACACC